AACGAACGCUGGCGGCGUGCCUAACACAUGCAAGUCGUACGAGAAAGCCGGCUUCGGCUGGUGAGUAAAGUGGCGCACGGGUGAGUAACGCGUGGAUAAUCUGCCCUUAAGUGUGGAAUAACGUACCGAAAGGUGCGCUAAUACCGCAUAAUGCCUGGCAACACAAGUUGUCCGGCCAAAGAAGGCCUCUGUUUACAAGCUUUCGCUUCAGGAUGAGUCCGCGUACCAUUAGCUUGUUGGUGGGGUAAUGGCCUACCAAGGCUGCGAUGGUUAGCUGGUCUGAGAGGAUGAUCAGCCACACUGGAACUGAGACACGGUCCAGACUCCUACGGGAGGCAGCAGUAGGGAAUAUUGGGCAAUGGGCGAAAGCCUGACCCAGCCAUGCCGCGUGAAGGAAGACGGCCUUAUGGGUUGUAAACUUCUUUACUACGCGAAUAGAGGUUAGUACGAGAUACUAAUAGGAAGGUAGUGUAGUAAAAGCACCGGCUAACUCCGUGCCAG
rnacentral:rRNA from 1 species